rnacentral:piRNA from 1 species
GGGUGUUGAACUACUGAGCGGGUU